UGUAUCAAGUUUCCAAACGGAAGCGAAAAUGGAUCCAAACAAAGAAGAGAGCAGAUGGGGUAAUCGGCUCACAGCUUGGACGGCUUUGGGAAAAUGUCGGGAGUGAACUUCUGGGCGGCGCUCAGGCUACCCUUAAUCCUCAUGGCACCCCUGUAAUUCAUCAAGAAAA